rnacentral:rRNA from 1 species
CACGCAGGCGGUCUUGCCAGUCAGGGGUGAAAGCCCGGGGCUCAACCCCGGAACUGCCUCUGAUACUGCAAGACUAGAGACUAGGAGAGGGUGGUGGAAUUCCCAGUGUAGAGGUGAAAUUCGUAGAUAUUGGGAGGAACACCAGAGGCGAAGGCGGCCACCUGGACUAGAUCUGACGCUCAGGUGCGAAAGCGUGGGGAGCAAACA